UACGGGGGGGGCAAGCGUUGUUCGGAAUUACUGGGCGUAAAGGGCUCGUAGGUGGCCAACUAAGUCAUACGUGAAAUCCCUCGGCUUAACCGGGGAACUGCGUCUGAUACUGGAUGGCUUGAGUUUGGGAGAGGGACGCGGAAUUCCAGGUGUAGCGGUGAAAUGCGUAGAUAUCUGGAGGAACACCGGUGGCGAAGGCGGCGUCCUGGACCAACACUGACACUGAUGAGCGAAAGCGUGGGGAGCGAACAGG
rnacentral:rRNA from 1 species